GCGCGUCACCGCGAAGAUAGUUGACGACCCUAAAAUGUUCACUUACAGAAACUGUUUACUCAUAAAAACGAAAUUUGCACCUCAGACGAAGAAAAACAAUGGAUAUGAAUGGAUGUUGCCUCUGUGUAGCGUUAUGGUUGUGUUCGGCGUGGUCAGUUAGUGGUUUCCACUGCUACCAAUGCUCCUUUGAUUGGUACAACAAAGCAGAUUGGAACAAGGAGGAGUGCAUUACCAACCCGGAAACAAUCAGACCGACAUUCCCGUGUAACGAAACCAGCUACUGCAUCAGCCAGGAAAAAAUUAAUAUAAAUACGGGGAUUGUUCUCUUCUUCUACCGGUCAUGCAGCUUAACGCCGAUGGAUUACUGCACCACCAACGGCCCGGAAAUGCUGAAUGCGGUCUCGUGCCAAGGCGAACUCUGUAACAACCACAUCGAUCUCUGCAAUACUGCUUCAAGUUUAAAAUUCUCUGAAAUUGAAUUUAUCAUAGGACUUAUAUACUGUAUCAUUUAUUUCAGUACAUUCUUGUGCACUUAUCCCAUAGAGUUACUGUGAUUUUUAUUAUUUUAGCAGGUAUUCGGGCAUUCAUGCAUUUGUUUAUGCGUGUUCCUCAUUUCUACAGAAUGAACCAAAUAUCAAAGUGAUUGUCAGUUAUAAGUUUACUAUUGCUAUAUGUUUGAGGCAUACUAAGGCGACGUUUGCCUACCUUGUCAGCGAUAAUAUUAGCACAACAUCAGCGUACAUUAGCCGGGAUAAUUGACUUGUAGGUUAAAUAUUAAUGAUCCGUGUUUCGCACUUACUGCGAAAAGUCACGGCCUCGACUUGCUUUCAAACAGUUGCCACAUGCAAGUCGGCCUGAUAUACGUUUAAGGGUUAAAAGACUCAAUAACGCGCAUUACCGUUCAUACAUCGUUUAAUCAUUCUUCAUCAUUCAACAUCAAUUCAAACAACGUUUGCGUUUACGAUAACGAUUAAGAUUGCGGUUAUCUGAAAUAAACAAUAUUAUACAGAAAUAACAAAAGGAAAAGAAACACAUACCAUGCUUGAUCUUAACACAUAUAAAUAAACAAUUAAUAUCAAUUACACAUUCUGAAAAUAAACUUAACUUCCAUUCAUACAAAAUAAGGUUUACUUAUAAAUAUGAAUACACUUCUAGGAGACUUCAAAAAUUGACCAAUAAUCCAUAAAAAGUACAUUGUAACUUAUUUGUAAAAUAAGCUCAAUACAAUACUGAAAACAAGACACACACACACAAAAUACAAAUAAAACUUACUGAACAAUGCCAAAUUCCCCCAAAACGUACACAAAUUCAAACAAUACGACCCACUUGUUUCAGAGCCUUUUCCAAACUGAUGCUUUGGGCGAUUUCUAAGAGAACGUUCAGCAAAAAUUGACAUACUAGUACAUUAAUUAAUAUUCAUAAUGGUAAACCAAUGAAAAAUAUAGAAUAUAGCCAUAUCAACCGGUCUAAAUAUAUCUUUUACCAAAUUUGGAGUUCCGGAAAUGCCAUGACCAUAUUCGGAGUGUCGAAACUUCAAAGAAUUGACAAGUAUUAGAUGUGACAUAACAAUUAAAGUAUAUGGGUGGUCGACACUCCCAGUCCCGCAACACCGUUAUUGUUUAAUCAUCAUUCUGCUAUUUUGAACAAUGGUGCUAGUCUGCAACAAUCCGUAUUUGAUAAUGUGAAACUUUCAUUCAAGUGGUAAAAUACAUAUACACAAUGCAAUACAGCUAUGGAAAAAGACUUGGUACUUCACAAUUUUCUCAUAUGUCGAAAACUUAAUAUCCAAAAAAAUCAAUAAAUAUCGAAAGAUGAAAAAAAUAUUGAGACGAACGAUUUUAUAUUUCAUUUAUAUUUGCAGAUAAUAUUUAAUUAAGCAUUGACCAUGAUAAAAUUCGAAUAUUGCAUCCUUGCUUUAUGAACGGGUCACCACUAGUACUUUACUUUACUUUAGCGGUUUACUUUAGUGAGUAAAUGGCCAAGCUAUGUUCUUUGUAAGUACAAGUAUACAUGUUCAAGCUACCCUAAUGAAGUUCGUUGUUACCACAAUUUAAAAAUGGUUCAGCUACGCAUUUGUUGUUAUUUGCAACUACAAUUACUAAAUGACCAAGCUACGCCACUGAAGUAAUUAUUUCUACUAGUAAAUGGUCUAGCUACGCCAUUGUUUUUAUUUGUGGAUACAACUUGGAAUGUUGUUUUUUAAUACGAUACUAUAGUUUUUUGUAAAUAAAAUUAAUACAUGA